UCUUGCACUCUUGCACUCUGGCUCCUGAAGCUGUAAGCAAUAGAGCUCUUGCUCUCUUGCACUCUUGCUCCUGAAGAUGUAAGCAAUAAAGUUUUGCCGCAGAAGAUUCCGGUUUGUUGUGUUCUUCCUGGCCGGUCGCGAGAACGAGGGAGCAUGCACAGCACCUUCCACUACUCUGAAAGCAAGCCCAUAGGGAUGAAGCUUCCAGGCAGGAUCAGCUUGAUUUCUCCACAUAAUACAAUUCAAACAGGGAGUGACCCCGAUUAAGAUUCACUGCAUUAUCACCCAGAUUCUCUUAUCCUCAGGGAUUCUCAGCCUUAUCCAGCACCACAAGUAUGAUCAACAAACACUCUAUCUACAGGAAGCCAUAUUAUCUUUAAAUCUGUCAGUUGUGACAAAAAGCCAGGACCCAGUCCAUGGGCUUAGGGUCAUUCUGUCAGGCUUGAAAGUGACACAGACCAUGAGUCUUGGUGAAAAAUGAUGAGGAGGAGUACAAAAUGGACUUUGAAGAGAGUUUAUAAUUUUGAAGUGGCCAUGAAUGAAAUAAUACACCUGAUACUUGCUGAAGGAAGGCAGUUGGGACUGACCCAGGAAGCAGAUGCUGCUACCCAAGCUAGGGAUGGAAGCAUGGGUAGUUAUUCUCUUACUGCUGAGUGUAAUUGAAAUAAUCCAUAAUAAAAUGGUGAGUCAGGAAAUACUCCUCAUGCUCCCAAAUCAAUUAAGAUUGGAGAUUAUAGUUUGUAAUUGUUCUCUAUCUAACUAAUAAACGCCAAAAUGAUAUGGUGACUGUAAACUCUCAUUGUCUGACAUAAUACAAAGAAUGC
rnacentral:lncRNA from 1 species